GGAGCAGCGGCCCCUCACACGGGAUAGCGGGGAAGGGUUUGGAACGCCGGGACCCUCACACGGGAUAGCGGGGAAGGGUUUGGAGCGCCGGGACCCUCACACGAGAUAGCCGGGAAGGGUUUGGAGCGCCGGGACCCUCACACGAGAUAGCCGGGAAGGGUUUCAAACACCGGGACCCUCACACGGGAUAGCGGGGAAGGGUUUGGAGCGCCGGGACCCUCACACGAGAUAGCCGGGAAGGGUUUGGAGCACCGGGACCCUCACACGGGAUAGCGGGGAAGGGUUUGGAGCACCGAGACCCUCACACGGGAUAGCGGGGAAAGAGCCGGGAAGGGUUUGGAGCACCGGGACCCUCACACAGGAUAGCCGGAAAGAGGCUGGGACAGGGUCUGGAGCCCCAGGAGAGGCUGAGGGAGCUGGGAAGGGGCUGAAGAAUCCCUGAGGGAGCUGGGAAGGGGCUGGAGAAUCCCUGAGGGAGCUGGGAAGGGGCUGGAGAAUCCCUGAGGGAGCUGGGAAGGGGCUCAGCCUGGAGCAAAGGAGGCUCAGGGGGCCCCUGUGGCUCUGCACAGCUCCUGACAGGAGGGGACAGCCGGGGGGGUCGGGCUGUGCUGCCCAUGCUGGAUCAGAAUCUCCUCUUUGGCAUAAAAACAAUGAUACUGACCGGGAGCAGGAAGGAUAACAAGGGAGCAGGAAAUAAAAUUCCUACAGACACAGCAGGAGAGAGAACCUUGGCAGAGUUAAAGCCCAUCUCAUUCCACCCUUGCCACUUUUCACUAGACCAGGUUGUCCAAGGCUUAUCCAACCUGGCCUGGUGUCUCUUAAUGAUGCUAAUUAAUUCAAAUAUCUCAAGACCUGGUUGUGCUGUAAUGCACAUAUCCAUUAUCUGCUGGCUCUAAUUUAAGAGCAGAUUAUAUCAAUUACCUUUUACUCCACAAGUAAUGGACUGAAUCACAUUUUUGACCCUUUUGCACUUCAGCAUUUGAGGAGUUGACAGAUGUAAACCAAUGCCAUGUAUUUAACAGGAGCUUGCAAUUAAAAACAACACGCACAAAUUAUUUCAAGGAAUUUCAAGCAAGGGCUGAGCCCUACUAGGAAAGAUGGACCUUUAAUUUUGCUUGUGCUCAUCUUCUUGUAAAAGGCAGCAAUAAUUUAGAACCGGUGAACUAGAGACUGGAAAGUCCCAGCCAGGCCCAACUGAGGGUUUUAUACAAUGGUUUUUCUUCUCAGCAAUAUUAUUUUAAAAGAAAUGCAAACCCACUAUCUCCGCUUCAUGAGGUAUGAAGACAAAUAUUUUUGUUUCCCUUUUGCAAGCUCUUCUCAAGUAACCAGACUGGAAUUGUCUUUUGGGUGAUGUAAACACUUCUCCCAUGAGCAAACCCACUGAUUUGGCUUUCAUUUAUUUAUUGACUUUCUGUAAUUCACAACCCAUUUCCUCAAAGCAGCAUCAGCCAAUUUCGCUCCUUAUUAAAAUAACCCUCUCUUAAUUGAUAAAUUCUAAUUUUAAAAUAUUUCCUGAUUCUAGUAUGACAGUUUGGGAAAUCUGACUAAAUACAACCCGUGUCUGAGGUUAGGAAGCCACUGAAGCUUUCAUAUCCCAGACUUUCACAGCAUAAGCAAAAGCUGUCAAAAGCUGCCACCAGAAAAUUCUUUUAUUUAGACUAUCUUGAGACAAACAUUUGACAGAGUUUUCUUUCACUUCCCCAUGUGCCACUGCAGUUCAGCCAACCAGGAAAAAAAAAUCCCCUACAAAGCCUCCACUAGUGCAAAUUUAUUUAUUUUUGAAGGUUUUUUCCCCUCCCAUAAGACCCAAACUAAAACUUCCUUGAGCUUAAUCCUCUUGAGGAAGAGAGAAGACAGGUAAUUCCUCCUGUCAGAGUUCUUUGACACGUGUUACGUUGUGCCUUCAUCCUGAUCAUCCUUUGUGUAAAGUUCAAUUCCAGUUUAUUCUGUCCUUCUUUACAGACCAGCUUUCCUGGAGGCCUCGAAGGCUGAUCCCUGAUGGGAUCUGGGAGCCAGGUGGGAUCAGGGAACAGGGACAGGACAGGAGGCUCAGGCUGGACCAGCAGGACUUUCCCCAUAGAAAGGAGAUUUGUUCAGAUAAAUAUUAGUUUUAGAGGUUAGGAGAUUUUAGAGCUGAAAUAAAGCAUGGAAAUCCAGGAUCUUCUCCAGCCUCAGCACAGCAUCCCCUCCCUCAUUUGUGGAACCAAAACAACUUUUGGAGAGGCUUUUAUUAUAAAUACAAACAAGGAAAUGUUGGUUUGGUUUUUUUUUUCCCUCAGCCUCCACGUUUCACCUCAGAUUUUCUCCCUCAAAGCAUUAUAAAAAUAACAAGGGGCCAGAAGCCUUUCAACGAGUUUCAUGUUGAAAAACAACAAAAUACCAUAAAAUACCAAGCCCCGAGUGGUUUUGCAAAGCACAUGAGAAGAUUUCAGUGACCUAUGUGCAUGUUUUGAAUCUAAGCGUGAGCAAGAAACACAGAACUGUUCUCCAACAGAACAAAACUUCAGCCUUGAGGGUUUAUUUAUUUAAAAAAUGUGACAUUAAAGCAAUUCCUUCCACCAAUUAUGCUGGAUACAGUCACAGAGCCCUGUGUGGCAGAUCAUAAUAAUUCCCUGAUCUCUUACAAAUAAAAAUUCCUAAUCCCCUGCUCAGCUC